rnacentral:rRNA from 1 species
GACGAAGGGUCCAAGCGUUAUCCGGAUUCAUUGGGUUUAAAGGGUGCGUAGGCGGCCCGGUAAGUCAGUGGUGAAAGCCUGUUGCUUAACAACAGAACUGCCAUUGAUACUGCCAGGCUUGAGUACAGUUGCUGUGGGCGGAAUAUGACAUGUAGUGGUGAAAUACAUAGAGAUGUCAUAGAACACCGAUUGCGAAGGCAGCUCACAAAACUGUAACUGACGCUGAGGCACGAAAGUGCGGGGAUCAAACAGG